GACAGAGGUGCCGAGCGUUAGGCGGAAUCACUGGGCUUAAAGCGUGUGUAGGCGGCGGCGUAAGUCCCUUGUGAAAUCCCACGGCUCAACCGUGGAACUGCUCGGUAUACUGCGUCGCUUGAGCCAGCUAGGGGCGACCGGAACAAACGGUGGAGCGGUGAAAUGCGUAGAUAUCGUCAAGAACACCGAUAGCGAAGGCAGCUUACUGGGCUGUAACUGACGCUGAUGCACGAAAGUGUGGGGAUCAAACAGG
rnacentral:rRNA from 1 species